rnacentral:rRNA from 1 species
GACGAACGCUGGCGGCGUGCUUAACACAUGCAAGUCGAGCGGUAAGGCCCUUUCGGGGUACGACGAGCGGCGAACGGGUGAGUAACACGUGGGUGACCGUGCCCUCACGCUCUGGGGAUAAGCCCUAGGGAAACCGGGUCUAAUACUGGAUAUGACUCCAUGACGCAUGUUGUGGGGUAGGAAAGCCUUGUGCGGCUGAGGAUGGGCCCGCGGCCUAUCAGCUUGUUGGUGGGGU